rfam:Myotis lucifugus cont2.16366, whole genome shotgun sequence.
CAUGGUUCUCGAGUGACGCACCCCCGAAUCAGGCUCCCUCCUCUCUGGUUCUGGGUGCAUCACCCGAGAACUGUA